rnacentral:rRNA from 1 species
UACGCAGGGGGCUAGCGUUGUUCGGAAUCACUGGGCGUAAAGGGCGCGUAGGCGGCUUUGUAAGUUAGAAGUGAAAUGCCAGGGCUUAACCUUGGAACUGCUUUUAAAACUGCAUGGCUAGAGUAUGGGAGAGGAUGGUGGAAUUCCUAGUGUAGAGGUGAAAUUCGUAGAUAUUAGGAGGAACACCGGUGGCGAAGGCGGCCAUCUGGACCAUUACUGACGCUGAGGCGCGAAAGCGUGGGGAGCGAACAGG